GGCGAGUUUGAUCAUGGCUCAGGACGAACGCUGGCGGCGUGCCUAACACAUGCAAGUCGAGCGAGUGGAGUUCUUCGGAACAAAGCUAGCGGCGGACGGGUGAGUAACACGUGGGCAACCUGCCUCAUAGAGGGGAAUAGCCUCCCGAAAGGGAGAUUAAUACCGCAUAAGAUUGUAGCUUCGCAUGAAGUAGCAAUUAAAGGAGCAAUCCGCUAUGAGAUGGGCCCGCGGCGCAUUAGCUAGUUGGUGAGGUAACGGCUCACCAAGGCGACGAUGCGUAGCCGACCUGAGAGGGUGAUCGGCCACAUUGGGACUGAGACACGGCCCAGACUCCUACGGGAGGCAGCAGUGGGGAAUAUUGCACAAUGGGGGAAACCCUGAUGCAGCAACGCCGCGUGAGUGAUGACGGCCUUCGGGUUGUAAAGCUCUGUCUUCAGGGACGAUAAUGACGGUACCUGAGGAGGAAGCCACGGCUAACUACGUGCCAGCAGCCGCGGUAAUAAGU
rnacentral:rRNA from 1 species